rnacentral:tRNA from 2 species
GGUAGCGUGGCCGAGUGGUUUAAGGCGUUGGAUUUAAGUUCCGUGUUUCGGUUCCCAAUGGGCGAAAGUCCGCGCGAGUUCGAACCUCGCCGCUACCA